UACGUCCUACGGGACGCAGCAGUGGGGAAUAUUGGGCAAUGGGCGCAAGCCUGACCCAGCAACGCCGCGUGAAGGAAGAAGGCUUUCGGGUUGUAAACUUCUUUUAUCAGGGAUGAAGCAAGUGACAGUACCUGAUGAAUAAGCCACGGCUAACUACGUGCCAGCAGCCGCGGUAAUACGUAGGUGGCAAGCGUUAUCCGGAUUUACUGGGUGUAAAGGGCGUGUAGGCGGGAGUGCAAGUCAGAUGUGAAAAGUAUGGGCUCAACCCAUAGCCUGCAUUUGAAACUGUACUUCUUGAGUGCUGG
rnacentral:rRNA from 1 species